AGAGGAAGCCGGUGGAAGUCCGGCGCGGUCCCGCCACUGUCACCGGGGAGCACGCUCGGAACAUCGCCACGGCGGGCCGUCGACGGCUGCUGGAAGGCUCCGGGGGUGCGUUCGACCCGGAAGCCAGGAGACUC
rnacentral:ncRNA from 2 species